rnacentral:rRNA from 1 species
UGCGCAGGCGGGCUUGUAAGUCAGUGGUGAAAUACUGCCGCUUAACGGUAGAACUGCCAUUGAUACUGCGAGUCUUGAAUAUGGUUGAGGUAGGCGGAAUGUGUUGUGUAGCGGUGAAAUGCAUAGAUAUGACACAGAACGCCGAUUGCGAAGGCAGCUUACUAAGCCAUUAUUGACGCUGAGGCACGAAAGCGUGGGGAGCGAACCGGAUUAGAUACCCGAGUAGUCC